GUCUAUGGCCAUAUACCCUGAAUGCAUGGGAUCUCGUAUGAUCUCAGAAGCUAAGCAGGGUUGGGCCUGCUUAGUACUUGGAUGGGAGAUUACCUGGUAUGGUAAGCU
rnacentral:rRNA from 1 species